rnacentral:rRNA from 1 species
UAAUACGUAGGGGGCGAGCGUUGUCCGGAUUUAUUGGGCGUAAAGAGCUCGUAGGCGGUUUGGUAAGUCGGAUGUGAAAUCUCCAGGCUCAACUUGGAGGGGUCAUUCGAUACUGCCAUGACUAGAGUUCGGUAGGGGAAUGUGGAAUACCUGGUGGAGCGGUGAAAUGCGCAGAUAUCAGGUGGAACACCCGUAGCGAAGGCGGCAUUCUGGGCCGAUACUGACGCUGAGGAGCGAAAGCGUGGGGAGCGAACAGGAUUAGAUACCCUGGUAGUCCACGCCUUAAACGAUGGGUACUCGGUGCUGGGCCGCAAGGUUCAGUGCCAAAGCUAACGCAUUAAGUACCCCACCUGGGGAGUACGAUCGCAAGGUUG